UAAGGUUAUUUUUAGUUCGAUUCUCCUAAAGUCGAAACGUAACCUAUAUACAACGAAACAUGGGAGCAACGUUAAGAGGUGUCGGGUCAAGGAGAUUCGUGGCUGGUUCAGAAUCAUUCGUCAAAAGACCCCAAAUCUGAUCCGGACUCGAGAAGGAAAAAAAUUACGUGAGAGGAAAAAGGAACGGUAGAGAAAAGGAAAGAGGAAGAAAAUCUUGUCAGGUCGAUCCGCUUUCUGGCCGAGUGUCCGAUACAAGACUGGAUUCCUUCUUGGUGCCCUCCUGCCGAAUUCCCCGCGCCCUUUUUUCUUUUCUCUCGUCAACUCGCUGGCAAUACCGGCUAGGUGAACCGGAGAGAGCAGGUGGAGGUAUUGACUGGCGCAGUGUACCACGCGCUCGCGCGAAUCUUGCUACCGGAGACUCGCCGAGGUAGACGUAGCUCAUGGGAAAGGAACAGACAGAGAGGGGUAGUUCUGUCUAUAUAGACGACCUCCCGCAGCCCCCACCGUCCCUUCCCCCCCAUUCGCCGGAAUCCGACCAAUAGACGGCUACGCGUCUGUGGUAGUGCGGCGUCGCCUCGGCUCCGUUCGCGCAGUCACAACUCGUUCGACCGUCGAGCUGUACGCUUCCGCCUUGCGGAGUACACGGUUAAUACCAGAACGUGUGUCGGAGUUUAUACGUGCGCGCCUGUUUUUAACGCUGUUCGCCUGUCAUCGUUCGCCGCGGAGAUCGCUUUUGUUCGUAUCGUUGUCGAAUCGGGUAACGGUGCACGUGUUUGCGUUGCGGGGGAUCUGCGCGGCGUCUCCUCGUCUCGUUGGUUCACGGUGCUGGACGGUGCUCUCCCGCGGGAUCAAGAGCCAUGCGAUUUUCCUGGAUGUUCGCGGCCACGGUGCUACUGGUGCUUCUGGUCACCGAAGCAAGGUGCAAGCGAAAAUUUGACGGGGAUUUCGAGUUCGCCGAGGAGAAAGACGUUGAAAACGGCUCGUUUUCGUGGCUUUUUCCACGAUGGAGGAUUUAUGCGCGCACGGGACAUUCGUUAGGUUCGUUACUGUCUGUUUCACGCAGUUGGUAGACAGGGGAGGAUUUUCGAGACGGAGAGAGCGAUGCAAUUGGGAAUUCAUUUUUCUUCGUACAAAAGGAAACGGUGCUAGGUAUUAUAAAUUCCAACUGCCCGCUUUGUUCAGGUUAUCACCACUGAAAACUACGUCGAUGCAUACAGCGCAAU